AUGUACACAUAUCCUAAGCGUCCAGCUGCUGAUUUUUCUCAAGCUGACCGCAGUCCUGUGAUCAGCACCGAGGUCAAGACACAGAACAUGACCAGCACAGUGUGUAUCCCGUUCUUCUCCUCCUCCUCAUGCUACGAUCCUGGCAUGAGAAUCUGGGGUGGGACAAAGAGGGGACUUGAGGUCCAGACACCACACUUGUCUCUGUACUCUCUCCCUUUCAUUUCCCUCCCCUCUCAAGGUCUUCAUCCUGGACUUCUGUGUCUGCGGGAUGCUCCCACCAGGUCUUGUGUGCAGGGACAAUGCUUGGCUCCAGCAAGACCAGAAUUAACCCUUUCAAGAAAAUGCCAAGAGACAAGGUGGCAGGGCCUGGAAUGUUUGGGGAACAGGAAGAAAGUCUGAGUCUGGAACUCAAGGUGUAAGGACAGAAAAGAUGGUGGAAAAGUUAGCAGAGGCCAUAUCACAAGAGGCCAUCUGUGGCUGGGUAAGGAUUUUGGGCUUUAUCUUAAAAGCAGUGGGAACCAUCGAGGGCUUUUAAAAAGGGAGGCAGAAUGAACAGAUCUAUGUGCUAGCAUCCAUGCAGGGAGUGGAUUGAAUGAACUAAAAUUGGAGGUGGUGGGGGGUGUGUGUGUGUGUGUGUAUUUGGGGUGGGGGAGAUUAAGGUAAUGGCUGGUUGUGGGGACAAACAAAAGAAGCCUUAUUCAGGAAACAUUGACUUACUUGGGCAUAUUUGACAUGGGUUUGAUGGAGUGCUGGUAGGGUUUGGUCCCCC
rnacentral:lncRNA from 12 species